rnacentral:misc_RNA from 1 species
GCCAUAAUCUUUUCAUUUGAAAUUUCUGCCUCUCAAAAGUAACCUUUUUAUUGGGUCAACAUAAAUAUAAUUCUUCGGUUACUUCAAUUAACAGAAGUGCUAACUUGGGAUAUUAAAUAACGUAACUUAUGGCCUAUACAAAUUUUUCUUUGCUUCUCAUUUGCAAAUCUUUUUUCCUGCAACAUGCAAAUCUAGAUUUCGAAGUGGCUCAAAAUGCAAAAUAGUAAAAUUUUAUACUGAAAUAAACCAUUCUAAACUUUAAUAAACAGUUGUAUGACUUUCGGGAAAACUUAUGAAUGAGCCAAGUAACCAUCCCCAAUACACGUUAUCACAACAAACAUCUCCUUUACACAUGUAUAUCACUAGAAAACUAAAAUCUUCACAAAACAGAGAAGCCAAGAACCAUGCGCUUUAGCAGGAUGGAGCAGGGUGAAACUUCUAUAUGGAUUCAACCAUUCCUAAUUUACCUUCAUAGUUGACAAGCUAUGCAUAGCAAUACCUUUCUCAUUACUAGCACGCAAGCUCCUCCACCAAACGAAGUCAUUUCACACCAAUUGUACAUCUCCAACGGCAAUAUCUACAAUUCUGAUUGAUGCCUUUACAAGCAUAAUCAAAUUCUAUUCAGUUAAAUGUAACAGCAAUUAUCAUGAUACAAGCUCAUCUUGCAAGAGAAUCUCAUAAAUAUCUGUCCUCAGAUUCAAUUCCUUAUCCCGCAUUACUUCUUGGAGAUCAGACAGCUCCUUCGCAGAUAGGACGGAAUUCAAUUUUAAAAAACCAUCAAGCCACAGUUUUUUGGACCAAGGACAGGCAUGAAUAGCUCGGAAGAAAAUUCGCCUAGCAGCAGAAGGAUUGCAUGCUAUGUCAAUUUCAUAAGCAAUGUAAGUACGCCAAAGUAUGACUGAUUUACGCAAGCUCUCAUUUGCCAAUGCUCUUUCAAAUAACCCAUGGAUUCUGUGAUGGGAGCCUCCUCUGCUCAUCUCAAAAGACAAUGCAAAAAUCCAAACAAUAACAGAAGGUUUCUUGUAACAGUAAUCAUCGAACAUCCACCGCAAUUUAUUGGGUGUUGCAUAACGAUGGCUGAUCUCCACUAAGGCCCUGAAGAGUUCAGGACUGCAAGGAUAUACUUGCAGCCCCUGAGAGAUGGACUCCCAGAGUUUCGAUGAGCUUGAUUGCUUAUGAUGUCUUAAAAGCAUCCUCAUAUAAUAAUUGAACAAAAAUUCAAGUUGGUAACUGUGCCGCCUCCUUUCUGCAGAUUAGAAACAUUGUAUGUCACAAGAACAACUAAAAAUGAACCAAUUAACAUUGUAAAACGCCUCGACCCUUGUGCCCUGUCCACUGAAUAAGAACUUCCCUUCUAGGUUUUUUGCCUAACCAGUUCAUACAUGAAUGGUCAGUUGACAAAGAAAAACAUUCAUAGCAAUAAUAAAUGCUUCAUCAAUUCUGAAUUGCACAGAUGAACAAAAAAAUGAGACAAGGAAGACCCCAAAAUAGAAGACCCCAAAAUAUCUCUUUCUUAUAUCUAAACAAAGCUAAGAGAACCACAAUCACUGCCUUCACCAAGAUAAUUAAACUAAAAUGUGAACUAAAAAGAUAUGCAAUUGAAAUAGACAAACAAAAUCCCUUCUCACUGUCAUGCAACCAUCAUGAAUCUCCAUAUUUGUGUCCCUGUUUUACGUUUCAGUUUGUACUUCUCACGGACCACACAAAUAGUAAUAAAUGAAACAUUUCUCUAGAAUUACAAAGAUGAAUGCUGACUCUGAUACUACAAGAGCCAUAAUUAUUUCAUUAAUUCAAUCUAAAAGGAUUAGCUUGUCAAUGAAACACCUUUGCACCCCCAAAAUAAAAUGUAUUAGAAAAAAAAGAGGAAGCAAAGGAAAAUCAUGUAAAGGCUUAUGAACCUGGAAGCACCAUAGUCAAUGCUUCAUCUACAACUCCAAUGCCUGCAGCCCACCCAGUUGUCAACUCUUCAAAUAAAGCUGCUGAACAAAUUAGAGCAACAGACUGAUCAUCUACAACACCACGUACCCAUGCUGAUUGAACUGUUCUCAUUUUUUCUUUAAACCCUUGGUGUGCUCUCAGCAAUUGCAGGC